rnacentral:rRNA from 1 species
GGAUUCUACCGUUGGUCGGGCUAACAAGUCUGUACUGGUGUGUAGAAUUUCUACCUUCUGGGGAACUAUCAUGUUAUUAAUUUGGUGCGCCGGGGAAGCAGGACUGUUACCUUGAAAAAAUUAGAGUGCUUAAAGCAGGCUAUUGCCUGAAUACAUUAGCAUGGAAUAAUGAAAUAGGACGGCAUGGUUCUAUUUUGUUGGUUUCUAGGAUCAUCGUA